rnacentral:lncRNA from 1 species
GCCGGGUGGGACGACCUUGGCCUGGGCCCUGCACCUUGCUUUGGGUAAUAAUGCAAUGUAGUCUGGCAAGUACCCCACAGGAGGGAGUGGGGAACGGCCUCUCCCUGGAGCCACCGACAGCAGGAGCAGGAAGCCCGCUACAAAGGAGUGCAAUACUGAGUCCAACUCUACCCCAGAAGCACCUGCUGCUGACACUGAAGAGAAGUAGAGUGGUGAAGAGAAGGGGUCUGAGUCUGGUUCACAUCCGGCCGUGCUUUGAGCUUGAGGUUCUUACGUAUCAAGUGUUCAGGGUCCCCUCGGUGGGAUGGGAACGAACAGCAUUCUCUCUCUCACAGACUUCACACAGGUGCUCAGCACAGUUCUUGGUCUACAGCUCAGCAGGGGAAGUAGCUACUCACAGCAGCGAUGGACAGGGAGUGGGGCUUUUGGUGCUGUUAUUACGGGUAUUUAGAAGCCCCACUGAGGCAAGAGCUACACGAUUAAACAGUCACACCUCAGGGGUCAGGCGGCAAAGAGUCUGGCGAGGCCACCAGGACUUGGGAACGGCGGCUGCCCGCGGGUGUGAAGGGAGAGCCCCAGCCCCGGACUUGUUCCAGAGACAGUCCCUCGGCAACAGUGUCAUCAAACAAAGGGAGGACAGUGCGUGGAGCCCACGAGGGGUGGAGGAGGACCGGGACGAGGAAAGUGCGUGGAGCCCACGAGGGGUGGAGGAGGACAGGGAUGAUCAGCGCCGGCUGGCCUGCCCUGUUCCUGUUGAUUUUCAUGUGGGUGACAGUGGGGCAAGGACCCCUGCUCGUGCCUGGUGUUUCCAGGAGCCGUGGCACCAUGGGGAGGGGAAACCCUUUGGUUCGGACAGAGCUAAUGGAAGUGGGUUGUGUUCAGGGCGCCCGGUCAUGCAGGGCAGUUUCCUCUCUGUUGGCCUCAGUGUGGAAACGGGUGCCUGCUUAUCACAUAAUAAAAACACCCUUGAGGACAAAUGCUGCACCACUGACUUUCCAGCCUCUUUGAAGAAUUCCCCAAGUGUUGAGGGACUUUGGAAUUAGACUGAGAAGCUUACAUAAUGACUAAUUUGGUUGCUGCUCGCUGUGCCCCCAGAAGACGGGAUUUGUCUGGAUUUUUCCGGGCGUUGCAGAUAGGGAGGUGUGGCCGACCUUCUACAGAGCCCAGACUCCCAAAAGUGAGGAUGUUACUGGAAGGAAGACUGCCUGGGAAAGUAGGAGACUCCGCGACUGUCACUGCGAAUCAGCUUUCUGCGUGUGGGCGGCUCCCCCCACGCCCGGCAGGCCUCGACCCCUCGAUCCUGAGAAGCCCUCAGAGUUCUGGUGAAAUCCCAUCACACAGUGCGAGUGCCUGCUUUCAGGUGGUCCCAGAGUCCACGUUUCAUUUCUCCCGAGUCACCAAAUGAUGCAAAUUAAUUUUGUUUUUUGUUCUCACCUCCUGCCAAAGCUGUUCCAAUAGGUGUUUGCUCCCAUUCCUCAUAGUCUUGCUGGAACCGUGGUACCGAAGACUGAGGUCUGGGUAUUCUAACAGCACUACAGCCCUUGCCUUGUGGAAUAGUGCAUUUUGAACCAAGGUGACAUGUUGCAUAGCUUUCUGUGCCCAUGAAAAUAAAUGGCAUAAAAUUUCCACUGUGGGUGGGAGAGGUUAUUGUUCAGUACAACCCGACCGGGGCCUUGCGACCUCAUUGUGAGUGCUGUGUUAUGCCAGGAACCUGUGUCUACCUCACACGUCCUCGUGUGGCGCAGACAGGAUGACUGUUCUUUUCCUGAAGGAACCACAUGUUAAGAAUGAUGCUUAUGAAAAUAGCACCCACACUGCUCAUGGUCCUGGGUUCAAAUCUCCUUUAGAUUGGAAGGAGCUGAGCAGGGUGACCAUACUCACCGUCCCCAUUCCCAUGCUGCUCCGCUCCUGCUGGGUCUCACAUUCCUCGACCCAGCUCACACAGCUCAGCUUCCGAGGAGCUCCCUGCAAGGUGGGAGCUGUGCUGAGGGGCUAGGCCGGGUGCGGGCACAUGGACUGGUCAGGCUGACAAGCGGCUUGGUGCUCAGUCUGAGAGAUCUGGCCACAUGGCUGAGCACCCUGGAUGGGCGUGGGCACAGCCACCCUCCCCGUGGCCCAGGCCGAGGGUCAUGUACUCAGGCAGAGCCGAGGCCGCUUCUCUUUCUCCUGUGCAGACAGCUGUGACCCUGCAAGAGGGGCUUGGAGAGAAGAGGUCGCAAGAGAGCGCUUCACACAGUCGCACCGGAGCUAGAGCCAGGCCUUGGUGUUGUCUACACUGUACCUGGACCUGCAUGUCAGGACCUCCGUGUUCCUACAGAGUCAGGGACCAAGCUGGAGAGGGACCUGGCUCGGGGUCUGGCUUCAGUGUGCAAAAGUGCAGAGGGCAGGGGUCUGAGCUCUCAGUCUACGUGGCUCCACUGGCCAGGUAAGCACCCAGGUUAGGACCUAUGCACAUUUUUAGAGAGAUCUUAGGCCUUUGUUGAAACAAACGCUUCUUCCUUUGGGGCCGAAAUAUAACCCAUGUGCGGUGGGAGUGACUCGGGAACUCACCUGAUCGUUCCGUGUUUUGCCUAUUUCACCAACUUGCUUGAAGACAGAGCCUUGGCAGCCUAAGCACAAAGAAUCUUCAAGAUGGAAGAGAGGAGUAAGGCAAGCGGUGUGCUUGUGGGCUCUGCGAAGCCACAGGAAGGCACAGGGAAAGCUACGGGGACAGAGACAGAGGCUGGAGUGACAUGCUGGGAGCCAAGAGGCACUGGGGGCAGUCGGCAUCCACAGGGGCCCCGGUGGCUUCUCCCUUGGUAGCUCCUACCCAGACCCUCAGCAGACACCCUCACCUGCACUAUGGACACCCUGACCAGCACUGGGGACACCCUGACCUGCACUGCAGAUGCCCUGACCUGCACUAUGGACACCCUGACC